rnacentral:rRNA from 1 species
GACGAACGCUGGCGGCGUGCUUAACACAUGCAAGUCGAACGGAAAGGCCCUGCUUUUGUGGGGUGCUCGAGUGGCGAACGGGUGAGUAACACGUGAGUAACCUGCCCUUGACUUUGGGAUAACUUCAGGAAACUGGGGCUAAUACCGGAUAGGAGCUCCUGCUGCAUGGUGGGGGUUGGAAAGUUUCGGCGGUUGGGGCUGGACUCGCGGCUUAUCAGCUUGUUGGUGGGGUAGUGGCUUACCAAGGCUUUGACGGGUAGCCGGCCUGAGAGGGUGACCGGCCACAAUGGGACUGCGAUACGGACCAGACUGCUACGGGAGGCAGCAGUGGGGAAUAUUGCACAAUGGGCGGAAGCCUGAUGCAGCGACGCCGCGUGCGGGAUGACGGCCUUCGGGUUGUAAACCGCUUUCGCCUGUGACGAAGCGUGAGUGACGGUAAUGGGUAAAGAAGCACCGGCUAACUACGUG